rnacentral:rRNA from 1 species
UGAGCUUGAUCCUGGCUCAGGAUGAACGCUAGCGGCAGGCUUAACACAUGCAAGUCGAGGGGUAUGUUUCUUCGGAAGCAGAGACCGGCGCACGGGUGCGUAACGCGUAUGCAAUCUACCUUUUACAGAGGGAUAGCCCAGAGAAAUUUGGAUUAAUACCUCAUAGUAUUACGACUCGGCAUCGAGAUGUAAUUAAAGUCACAACGGUAAAAGAUGAGCAUGCGUCCCAUUAGCUUGUUGGUAAGGUAACGGCUUACCAAGGCUACGAUGGGUAGGGGUCCUGAGAGGGAGAUCCCCCACACUGGUACUGAGACACGGACCAGACUCCUACGGGAGGCAGCAGUGAGGAAUAUUGGACAAUGGGCGCAAGCCUGAUCCAGCCAUGCCGCGUGCAGGAUGACGGUCCUAUGGAUUGUAAACUGCUUUUAUACAGGAAGAAACACCUCUACGUGUAGAGACUGACGGU